AAUGAACGCUGGCGGCAGGCCUAACACAUGCAAGUCGAACGGAUCCUUCGGGAUUAGUGGCGGACGGGUGAGUAACGCGUGGGAACAUACCCUUUGGUACGGAAUAGCCCCGGGAAACUGGGAGUAAUACCGUAUGUGGUCGAGAGACGAAAGAUUUAUCGCCAAAGGAUUGGCCCGCGUUGGAUUAGGUAGUUGGUGGGGUAAUGGCCUACCAAGCCGACGAUCCAUAGCCGGUUUGAGAGGAUGAUCAGCCACACUGGGACUGAGACACGGCCCAGACUCCUACGGGAGGCAGCAGUGGGGAAUCUUAGACAAUGGGGGAAACCCUGAUCUAGCCAUGCCGCGUGAUCGAUGAAGGCCUUAGGGUUGUAAAGAUCUUUCAGGUGGGAAGAUAAUGACUGUACCACCAGAAGAAGCCCCGGCUAACUCCGUGCCAGCAGCCGCGGUAA
rnacentral:rRNA from 1 species